UACGUAGGGGGCCAGCGUUGUUCGGAAUUACUGGGUGUAAAGGGUUCGUAGGCGGUGCGGCAAGUUGGGAGUGAAAUCUCUGGGCUCAACCCAGAGGCUGCUUCCAAAACUGCUGUGCUCGAGUGUGAGAGAGGCGCGUGGAAUUGCAGGUGUAGCGGUGAAAUGCGUAGAUAUCUGCAGGAACACCCGUGGCGAAAGCGGCGCGCUGGAUCACUACUGACGCUGAGGAACGAAAGCUAGGGGAGCAAACAGG
rnacentral:rRNA from 1 species